AGUGAACGCUGGCGGUAGGCCUAACACAUGCAAGUCGAACGGCAGCACAGUAAGAGCUUGCUCUUACGGGUGGCGAGUGGCGGACGGGUGAGGAAUACGUCGGAAUCUACUUUUUCGUGGGGGAUAACGUAGGGAAACUUACGCUAAUACCGCAUACGACCUACGGGUGAAAGCAGGGGAUCUUUGGACCUUGCGCGAUUGAAUGAGCCGAUGUCGGAUUAGCUAGUUGGCGGGGUAAAGGCCCACCAAGGCGACGAUCCGUAGCUGGUCUGAGAGGAUGAUCAGCCACACUGGAACUGAGACACGGUCCAGACUCCUACGGGAGGCAGCAGUGGGGAAUAUUGGACAAUGGGCGCAAGCCUGAUCCAGCCAUACCGCGUGGGUGAAGAAGGCCUUCGGGUUGUAAAGCCCUUUUGUUGGGAAAGAAAAGCAGCAGGUUAAUACCCCGCUGUUCUGACGGUACCCAAAGAAUAAGCACCGGCUAACUUCGUG
rnacentral:rRNA from 1 species